rnacentral:rRNA from 1 species
UACGUAGGGUGCAGGCGUUUAAUCGGAAUUACUGGGCGUAAAGCGUGCGCAGGCGGUUUGCUAAGACAGGUGUGAAAUCCCCGGGCUUAACCUGGGAACUGCGCUUGUUACUGGCAGGCUUGAGUGUGGCAGAGGGGGGUGGAAUUCCACGUGUAGCAGUGAAAUGCGUAGAGAUGUGGAGGAACACCGAUGGCGAAGGCAGCUCACUGGGACGGUAUUGACGCUGAGACGCGAAAGCGUGGGGAGCAAACAGG